UACGAAGGGGGCUAGCGUUGUUCGGAAUUCCUGGGCGUAAAGCGCGCGCAGGCGGUCUUCCAAGUCAGUGGUGAAAGCCUGGAGCUCAACUCCAGAACUGCCAUUGAAACUGUUAGACUUGAGUACGAGAGAGGUGAGUGGAAUUCCCAGUGUAGAGGUGAAAUUCGUAGAUAUUGGGAAGAACACCAGUGGCGAAGGCGGCUCACUGGCUCGUAACUGACGCUCAGGCGCGACAGCGUGGGGAUCAAACAGG
rnacentral:rRNA from 1 species